ensembl:lncRNA
UUCAAGGCCAGGCUGGAUGGGGCUUUGAGCAACCUGUCUAGACAGAGGUGUCCCUGUCUUUAGCAGGGGGGUUGGAAUGAGAUGAUCUUAAAGAUCUUUUCCAACCCAAACCAUUCUAUGAUUCUAUGAUAUGGUUCACUCUCAUCAUUCAGUUGAGCAAAGAAGGGGGAAUAGCAAGCAGCCACUGCAGCCUUUUAAGGCUAUAAACAUAGCCUUAAUGGCUCCUUAUAGUUUUUUAAACUAGCUGAGUACAGAGUUAAACAGAAUAAUAAUCUGUCUCCCAUCCUUUUGUUUUCUCAUUGUUUGUCCUCUGUAAACACAUGAAGCACACAGCCAAUAUUGAACGGCGCACUCAGAAUUUGUGAAGCCUGCACAGAACACUAAGAAUUUGCAACUGAACUCCUUACUAAAAUCACACGCAGCAGUGAUUUCCAGGAAUGCAGUGAUGUCCAGGAAGGCACUGAUGUCCAGGAAGGACCAUAUUCCAUGGUCUUUGGAGAGAUCUUGUCGUUACUUGCCUGCUGAAUUUAGGAUCUUUGUUACCUUAAUCCUAAAUAAAACUGCUCUUAAAACGUCAUUCAAGGCCCUUUUUCAGUAUUUGUUUACCCUGAGCUGUUCUGAGGUUCUUACAAGACAUGUACACCUUUGUGCAAGUGGAAAACAUGAUUUAUUUGUAUGUCUCCUGGAUUCUUCUGUCUUGACAUGCUCCUUGAUGCAGCCUUUGAUUAUUUCAACUUAUGAACAGUCAAGAGUCCAAUGUUAAGGAAUUAUUAUACAGCAAAAAUAAUAACAAAUGAAUGAGUAGAAUUUCAGCUGUGAUCCAGAUCAGUUCUACAGAGGCUGAACCCUCCCACCAAGAUUCCAUUACAUUUGUUGCCAUGUGACAGAUGACAGCAAAAGGGCAGUCUGACAAAACUGCGUCUGACAUGGAAGUGUUUAUGAAGAACCAGUAUGGAAUUGAAUUCCUCCAUGCAGAAAAAAUGGCGCCCACUGACAUUCAUUGACACUUGCUGUAGGAUGUGAGCACAGUGAGGGGUGGACGGUGCAUUUCAGCAAUGGUGACAGCGCCAUGAAAGACAAGCCACAUUCCAGACUGCCAUGCACAGCUGUCACACCAUAAAAUGAAGAGCAUCUUGACCAACCCAUCUGAGCAAAUCAACUAAUGGUGGUGACUGUGUUGAAAAGAUAGAAUUUUUAUCUGGGAAUUACCUAUAUCAAAUAGUGUUAUUGUUCUCUUUGCACCUGCUGUAGUUUUCAUUUGUGGGUUUUAUUUUUUGUUGUUUGUUUGUUCAUUUGUUUUAAUCUUGUAUUCUGCUUCCUGUGAUUAAAAGCAAGCUGUUUACACAACGUUUAUUACUAAGCAAAGAAAGUCCUCCAUCUGAACAAAUCCAGUUGUUAUACAUGACUAUGAAACAACACAUGUUCAUAUCCAUUUCUGUACAUGUUUACAGUUCAGUGUUUCCAUCCAAUUCAUUAAACAGCUGUCUGCUCUUCUUUCAACAUUAUUUGUGCUCACAUUUACAAACCACAGGUAAUUAGAAAUAAUAUUUGAAACAAAGGCCUUUUGGGAUAUUAAUCAAUGAAAAAAAUAUUACCUGUGAGAUUUUAUAUGAUAGGCACAACUAUCAGACAGAACAUUACUCUUACUAUAUUAUUUUUGGUUUCAAGGCUUCUUAGUCAUAGUAGAAAUGCAAUAUUUUGCAGGAAAAUUCAAUACUUCAUCAGAUGCCUGAUGUAUUUUUUUAGUAUAAAUAUUACUGUGUUUAACCUCACAAUGUCUUUGGGGG